CACCUGGGCGACAGAUGCCGUGGGUGGGAGACCGGCGGUGGGUCACCGGCAGCCAUUUUUCCAGCCCCAAAUUGUUCCAAUUCCAAUUGUUUGGGGCGCAAGAUUUUUGGGCUGAUGCCACCGCAGAGGCCGUUCGGGAACGUGCGCCCAAAAGCGGCGAGCCGCCCACGUACGUCUUUUUUCAAGGCCAUAAAUCGUUCUGUUGAGACAAGAAAAGAGCUUUGUCCAUGUUGCUUUUGGUUUGUUUUCACUGUGUGGCGUUUGAGCGUUGUGACGCUUGCUUGAGGUGUCGGAAAAGGCCGCCCGUCCCCAAAGAGCCGACGGCGGUGAAAGAAGCUCGAGCAGAUGAUCGGCACAAACCACAAUUGUGAUUCUGUUUGCCUCCGCGAGCGCCGCCGCCGCCAGUCUCCGCUCUCAAUGGCUCCUUGUUGAUCCGACUUCUCCGUGCCGCACGAAUGAGCUUGAGCGCUCUCCUCCAGAUGGCGUCGAGCGCCCGCGAUCGCUGCCGACAUCGUCAAAGACGACGCCCCCGCUUCCGUGACCGUUUUGAGCCUUCGGCCAAAGAAGCGCGUCGGUGACUCGCCGGCGCCACUCGGCCGCCCCCUCUCCAGCGCGCGGAAUGAAGCCCUUUGGCAAACGCCGACCCUUUCAGCAUUUUAGAAGCGUGUGAAAGGCAAGACGGGCCGCCGAGGGGUUUUGCAAUCUCGCAGCCUUGGAAAGGGGGGGGCAAACGCCUCGCGAAGAAGGCCGCGGCUUGCGGCCGCGACCGAGUCCGCUCGGCAGACGUUGAGAAUCGCGGGUUGACGCAAACCUUUUUGGGCGGGAGGGGCCCCGGGCAGUCGACCGGUGUCCGCGCACCAUAUUGGCCAAAAAGCAAGAUUGGAUUGGAUCGGCGCGUCCUUCCAAAACAAGCAAAACCAAAACAACGCGCGCAUCCGCAAAAACGAGACGGCGGCGAGGCUGCGUGGCUCCGACUCGGGCCCAUGGCGGGAAAAGCCUGUGAGUCAGCGCGGUUGAGGUUAUCGAUGAUGACGGGGUAUUAGAUGGAGGGCGGGGC